rnacentral:misc_RNA from 1 species
GAUGAAGAACGCAGCGAAAUGCGAUACUUGGUGUGAAUUGCAGAAUCCCGUGAACCAUCGAGUCUUUGAACGCAAGUUGCGCCCGAAGCCAUCAGGUUGAGGGCACGUCUGCCUGGGCGUCACAUAUCGUUGCCCAAUGCCUAUUGCAGUGCAAUAGGAAUUUCUAGGGCGAAUGAUGGCUUCCCGUGAGCGUUGUUGCCUCGCGGUUGGUUGAAAAUCGAGUCCUUGGUAGGGUGUGCCAUGGUAGAUGGUGGUCGAGUUAGAACGAUACCGAUCAUGUGCAUGCUCCCCAAAAUAUGGCCUCUAUGACCCACACGCGUCCUUUGACGCUCAUGACGAGACCUCAGGUCAGGCGGGGCUACCCGCUGAAUUUAAGCAUAUCAAUAAGCGGAGGA